UGGGGAAUAUUGGGCAAUGGGCGCAAGCCUGACCCAGCAACGCCGCGUGAAGGAUGAAGGCCUUCGGGUUGUAAACUUCUUUGAUCAGGGACGAAAAAAAUGACGGUACCUGAGGAACAAGCCACGGCUAACUACGUGCCAGCAGCCGCGGUAAUACGUAGGUGGCAAGCGUUAUCCGGAUUUACUGGGUGUAAAGGGCGUGUAGGCGGGUCUGCAAGUCGGAUGUGAAAUUCCCGGGCUGAACUCGGGCGGGUCAUCCGAAACUGCGGAUCUUGAGUACUGGAGAGGAGAGGGGAAUUCCUAGUGUAGCGGUAAAAUGCGUAGAUAUUAGGAGGAACACCAGUGGCGAAGGCGGCUAUCUGGACAGUAACUGACGCUGAGGCACGAAAGCGUGGGGAGCAAACA
rnacentral:rRNA from 1 species